UUGGAUUUUGUUGGUGAGAUUCAGAUUACGGAAAUGGCGAUGAAGCAUGUUUGGGAGGAAACCCUUUAUAGCUGCAACAAAAAGUUUCUAAACCCUAAUUUCUGUCUUUGCAUUUGGUUAUUUAUAGAUCAUAACAAGUGUAAUCAUAUUUAUGGGCCGGCCCAAAUACUUAGCACACUCCAAUAUUCUUAUUCACACCCCAUGUGUGCCUAA